rnacentral:misc_RNA from 1 species
GAGAAGAACGUAGCGAAAUGCGAUAAGUAAUGUGAAUUGCAGAAUUCAGUGAAUCAUCGAAUCUUUGAACGCACAUUGCGCCCGCCAGUAUUCUGGCGGGCAUGCCUGUCUGAGCGUCAUUUCAACCCUCAUGCCCCUAGGGCGUGGUGUUGGGGAUCGGCCAAAGCCCGCGAGGGACGGCCGGCCCCUAAAUCUAGUGGCGGACCCGUCGUGGCCUCCUCUGCGAAGUAGUGAUAUUCCGCAUCGGAGAGCGACGAGCCCCUGCCGUUAAACCCCCAACUUUCCAAGGUUGACCUCAGAUCAGGUAGGAAUACCCGCUGAACUUAAGCAUAUCAAUAAGCGGAGGA